AAGGCUGCACUUAAUGGCCUAGAAGGCCGCAUGUGGCCUUAAGGCUGCAGGUUCCCCACCCCUGGGCUAGUGGAAUCAAGGGAUAUGGGGAGAGGGCAGGCAUGGGUUAUUGAUUAGGGACGAUCAGCCAAGAUCACAAUGAAUGGCGGUGCUGGCUCGAAGGGCCGAAUAGCCUCCUCCUGCACCUAUUUUCUAUGUUUCUUUAUCAAUGAGCCAGGUGGGUUUUCAUGACAAUCAGUAGAUUCUUGGUUAUCUAUUGUGAGACUGGCUUUUUAUUGAGGCAUUGAAGUUCAGUGCCAGCCUCUUUUUUUAUUUUCCAUGGCUUAUUGUGCAUGACCAAAGAUGUCCCAUGUCUAAAGACUGUGGAAUGUAUAUACCCAUGACACAAACGCUGUUGUGAGCGGAGUGAUGGUGUUUACCAAUUGUAGACAUUUGACUCAUUUUGUGAUUUAUGUGACUUUAUCAUCUAUUUGCCAACAAAUUAAUUGUUGGCGGGAUCGGAAUCUGUGUUGCCUUCAACAGCUGGCAAUCUGAUACAGAUAGUAGGAAACUAUUUUGUUGGGUAAAGUCAAAUGCUAUUAAAACUUAAUGCCGAGUGAUUUUCUGGAAACGAUUGCAAAAGGACAGCUAAAAAAAGUAAUAGGGCAAAUAUAGAUACUGUAAUAUAUCCCCCUCGAUGACACUUCCAUCGGCUAUUGUAGUAGAGAAUCUAUUUUUAUUUUGUCUGAAUUUAGGUCCGAUACACUGCCAAUGUACAAGUGAGCAGCUAGGAAAUGCUGAGUAGUUGAUCCCUGUUAGCGCAUGGUAAUACCUCUUCAUUCUGCUGCCUCCAUAAAACGGAAUUGUUGCUUAAGCCAACUGUUGUCUUGUAUCAAAAUGGAAUUCUAAAUUUGCCUAAAAGUAAGGAUAUGUGUUCAAUAUAAUAAAAAGUACAGAAGCUAAUAUCUUUGCCUCAGAGGGCAGUGGAGGCAGGUUCUCUGGAUGCUUUCAAGAGAGAGCUAGGUAGGGCUCUUUAAAAUAGCGGAGUCAGGGAAUAUGGGGAGAAGGCAGGAACGGGGUACUGAUUGUGGAUGAUCAGCCAUGAUCACAUUAAAUGGCGGUGCUGGCUCGAAGGGCCGAAUGGCCUACUCCUGCACCUAUUGUCUAUUGUCUGUUGAAUGCAUAAUUACGUUCAGGAAAGCUGUAUUUGAAUCUUUGCUGCUGUGCUGCGUGCAAAAUGUUGCCACCAAAAGGUGUUAUUUAGGUUUAUUUUCCUGUUAUUGGGGUCUGAAAGCUGUAACGUUACUUACUCCACCCACUUGCCAUUCAUCCCCUUCACCUGUAUCCACCUAUCACUGGCCAGGCUUUGUCCCUUAUCUACCUCUCUUUUACAGCUUCCUCCCCUCCUACUCCCAUCAGUUUGCAGAAGGGUCCUAACCCGAAACACCAUCUGUCCAUUGCCUCCAUAGAUGCUGUCUGACAGGUUGAGUUCCUCCAGCACAGGUCAUUUCUGAGCCACACUGCAGCAAUGGAAUGUCAGAUGGCCCCUGCUUCUACCACUAUGAAAGCUGACACCAAUGCUGUAAUAUUGGUAGGUCCACCUAUGGCCCAUGGAAGGAGCAGGCUUCAGGUUGUGAAAGGUUCCUGGGCAGACCGGUCACCCCUGCAUGACGCAGCCAGCCAAGGUCGACUUCUGUCUCUCAAAACCUUGCUCGCACAGG